rnacentral:rRNA from 1 species
GAAGCGUGCGAUUGGAUUGCACGUCUAAGCAGUAAGGCUGAGUAUUAGGCAAAUCCGGUACUCAUUAAGGCUGAGCUGUGAUGGGGAGAAGACAUUGUGUCUUCGAGUCGUUGAUUUCACACUGCCGAGAAAAGCCUCUAGAUAGAAAAUAGGUGCCCGUACCGCAAACCGACACAGGUAGUCAAGAUGAGAAUUCUAAGGUGAGCGAGCGAACUCUCGUUAAGGAACUCGGCAAAAUGACCCCGUAACUUCGGGAGAAGGGGUGCUCUUUAGGGUUAACGCCCAGAAGAGCCGCAGUGAAUAGGCCCAAGCGACUGUUUAUCAAAAACACAGGUCUCUGCUAAACCGUAAGGUGAUGUAUAGGGGCUGACGCCUGCCCGGUGCUGGAAGGUUAAGAGGAGUGGUUAGCUUCUGCGAAGCUACGAAUCGAAGCCCCAGUAAACGGCGGCCGUAACUAUAACGGUCCUAAGGUAGCGAAAUUCCUUGUCGGGUAAGUUCCGACCCGCACGAAAGGCGUAACGAUUUGGGCACUGUCUCAACGAGAGACUCGGUGAAAUCAUAGUACCUGUGAAGAUGCAGGUUACCCGCGACAGGACGGAAAGACCCCGUGGAGCUUUACUGUAGCCUGAUAUUGAAAUUCGGCACAGCUUGUACAGGAUAGGUAGGAGCCUUUGAAACGUGAGCGCUAGCUUACGUGGAGGCGCUGGUGGGAUACUACCCUAGCUGUGUUGGCUUUCUAACCCGCACCACUUAUCGUGGUGGGAGACAGUGUCAGGCGGGCAGUUUGACUGGGGCGGUCGCCUCCUAAAAGGUAACGGAGGCGCUCAAAGGUUCCCUCAGAAUGGUUGGAAAUCAUUCAUAGAGUGUAAAGGCAUAAGGGAGCUUGACUGCGAGACCUACAAGUCGAGCAGGGUCGAAAGACGGACUUAGUGAUCCGGUGGUUCCGCAUGGAAGGGCCAUCGCUCAACGGAUAAAAGCUACCCCGGGGAUAACAGGCUUAUCUCCCCCAAGAGUUCACAUCGACGGGGAGGUUUGGCACCUCGAUGUCGGCUCAUCGCAUCCUGGGGCUGUAGUCGGUCCCAAGGGUUGGGCUGUUCGCCCAUUAAAGCGGUACGCGAGCUGGGUUCAGAACGUCGUGAGACAGUUCGGUCCCUAUCCGUCGUGGGCGUAGGAAAUUUGAGAGGAGCUGUCCUUAGUACGAGAGGACCGGGAUGGACAUACCUCUGGUGUACCAGUUGUCGUGCCAACGGCAUAGCUGGGUAGCUAUGUGUGGACGGGAUAAGUGCUGAAAGCAUCUAAGCAUGAAGCCCCCCUCAAGAUGAGAUUUCCCAACUUCGGUUAUAAGAUCCCUCAAAGAUGAUGAG